rnacentral:rRNA from 1 species
AGCGAACGCUGGCGGCAGGCCUAAUACAUGCAAGUCGAACGCCCCUUCGGGGGAGUGGCGGACGGGUGAGUAACGCGUGGGAACGUGCCCUUUGGUACGGAACAACUGAGGGAAACUUCAGCUAAUACCGUAUGUGCCCUUCGGGGGAAAGAUUUAUCGCCAUUGGAGCGGCCCGCGUUGGAUUAGCUAGUUGGUGGGGUAAAAGCCCACCAAGGCGACGAUCCAUAGCUGGUCUGGGAGGAUGAUCAGCCACACUGGGACUGAGACACGGCCCAGACUCCUACGGGAGGCAGCAGUAGGGAAUCUUGCGCAAUGGGCGAAAGCCUGACGCAACCAUGCCGCGUGAAUGAUGAAGGUCUUAGGAUUGUAAAAUUCUUUCACCGGGGACGAUAAUGACGGUACCCGGAGAAGAAGCCCCGGCUAACUUCGUGCCAGCCGCCGCCGUAAUAC